rnacentral:rRNA from 1 species
GACGAACGCUGGCGGCGUGCUUAACACAUGCAAGUCGAACGGAAAGGCCCUGCUUUUGUGGGGUGCUCGAGUGGCGAACGGGUGAGUAACACGUGAGUAACCUGCCCUUGACUUUGGGAUAACUUCAGGAAACUGGGGCUAAUACCGGAUAGGAGCUCCUGCUGCAUGGUGGGGGUGGGAAAGUUUCGGCGGUUGGGGAUGUACUCGCGGCUUAUCAGCUUGUUGGUGGGGUAGUGGCUUACCAAGGCUUUGACGGGUAGCCGGCCUGAGAGGGUGACCGGACCCAUUGGGACUGAGAUACGGCCCAGACUCCUACGGGAGGCAGCAGUGCGGAAUAUUGCACAAUGGGCGGAAGCCUGAUGCAGCAACGCCGCGUGCGGGAUGACGGCCUUCGGGUUGUAAACCGCUUUCGCCUGUGACGAAGCGUGAGUGACGGUAAUGGGUAAAGAAGCACCGGCUAACUACGUG